AUUGAACGCUGGCGGCAGGCCUAACACAUGCACAUCGAGCGGGGUUUUCGGACCUAGCGGCGGACGGGUGAGUAAUGCGUAGGAAGCUACCCGAUAGAGGGGGAUACCAGUUGGAAACGACUGUUAAUACCGCAUAAUGUCUACGGACCAAAGUGUGGGACCUUCGGGCCACAUGCAAUCGGAUGCGCCUACGUGGGGUUUGCUAGUUGGUGGGGUAAUGGCCCACCAAGGCGACGAUUCCUAGCUGGUUUGAUAGGAUGAUCAGCCACACUGGAAAUGAGACACGGUCCAGAUUCAUACGGGAGGCAGCAGUAGGGAAUAUUGGACAAUGGGCGCAAGCCUGAUACAGCCAUGCAGCGUGUGUGAAGAAGGCCUUCGGGUUGUAAAGCACUUACAGUAGGGAGGAAGGAUGUUGUGUUAAUAGCACAGCAUUUUGACGUUACCUACAGAAGAAGCACCGGCUAACUACGUGCCAGCCGCCGCGGUAAAAC
rnacentral:rRNA from 1 species